CGGUAAACAAAGGGAAGGCGAGCCUGUGAAGGUAAGCGAACCCCAAAAAUAAACGUCCCAGUUCGGAUUGCAGUCUGCAACUCGACUACAUGAAGCUGGAAUCGCUAGUAAUCGCGGAUCAGAAUGCCGCGGUGAAUACGUUCCCGGGUCUUGUACACACCGCCCGUCACACCAUGGGAGUCGGAAAUGCCCGAAGUCUGUGACCGAACCGAAAGGAAGGAGCAGCCGAAGGCAGGUCGGAUGACUGGGGUGAAGUCGUAACAAGGUAAC
rnacentral:rRNA from 1 species